rnacentral:rRNA from 1 species
AGUGAACGCUGGCGGUAGGCCUAACACAUGCAAGUCGAACGGCAGCACAGUAAGAGCUUGCUCUUACGGGUGGCGAGUGGCGGACGGGUGAGGAAUACAUCGGAAUCUACUUUUUCGUGGGGGAUAACGUAGGGAAACUUACGCUAAUACCGCAUACGACCUACGGGUGAAAGCAGGGGAUCUUCGGACCUUGCGCGAUUGAAUGAGCCGAUGUCGGAUUAGCUAGUUGGCGGGGUAAAGGCCCACCAAGGCGACGAUCCGUAGCUGGUCUGAGAGGAUGAUCAGCCACACUGGAACUGAGACACGGUCCAGACUCCUACGGGAGGCAGCAGUGGGGAAUAUUGGACAAUGGGGGCAAGCCUGAUCCAGCCAUACCGCGUGGGUGAAGAAGGCCUUCGGGUUGUAAAGCCCUUUUGUUGGGAAAGAAAAGCAGCAGGUUAAUACCCAGCUGUUCUGACGGUACCCAAAGAAUAAGCACCGGCUAACUUCGUG